rnacentral:tRNA from 1 species
CGGGUGUAGUUCAAUGGUAGAACUCCAGCCUUCCAAGCUGGUGGUGUGAGUUCGAUUCUCAUCACCC